rnacentral:lncRNA from 1 species
GUGGCUCACAGACCUUUGCUACUACUGUGAUUCCACACCGCAAAACUGGUUUCCAGGUCGUCCACAAAGGAGCAGCUUGCUGACUGUCUGACAAAAAAGUUCAGUCCUGAGCAGCCUGUGAGAUCAGAGACUGUGGGCUAUGUGAAGAAGCCGUCCCUUAAAGACAAGGUCCACUGUGUCGUCUUUGUGGUGGAUGCUUCUAAAGUGUCCAGCUACACCAAAGGCCUGGGCACCACCUUCCAACAGCUCCGAGAACACAUCAGUGACCUGGAUUAAUUUGCUGAUGGUGAGGCCCAGUAGCAGAGGGACAAGGCUCAGUGUGAUGGACCAGGCUGUGUUAAGGGCUGUCUUAC